rnacentral:rRNA from 1 species
GACGAACGCUGGCGGCGUGCUUAACACAUGCAAGUCGAACGGAAAGGCCCUGCUUGCAGGGUACUCGAGUGGCGAACGGGUGAGUAACACGUGGGUGAUCUGCCCUGCACUUCGGGAUAAGCUUGGGAAACUGGGUCUAAUACCGGAUACGAGCCAUCUUUAGUGUGGUGGUUGGAAAGUUUUUUCGGUGUAGGAUGAGCUCGCGGCCUAUCAGCUUGUUGGUGGGGUAAUGGCCUACCAAGGCGGCGACGGGAAGCCGGCCAGAGAGGGUGUACGGCCACAUUGGGACUGAGAGACGGCACAGAUACCGACGCGAGGCAGCAGUGGGGAAUAUUGCACAAUGAGCGCAAGCCUGAUGCAGAGACGCCGCGUGGGGGAUGAAGGCGUUCGGGUUGUAAACUCCUUUCGCUAGUGAAGAAGCUUUGUUGUGACGGUACCUAGAUAAGAAGCACCGGCUAACUACGUG